CCGUUGCUGAGCUCAUCCUCUUCCGGUGAUAAUAGUUACAUUUACAAAGUUUAACUUUAGUUAAGUUUCACAAUACUGAAACAAAACUUUUUUUUUAUAGCCUAAGCGAGCUCUUAAAGUGUGGUGCCGCUGUUAAUUAUGGCAUCUUUCCGUAAAUUACUCUACGUACCGCGCUUCGACACUCAGUCGCCUCAAACUGACAAGGAAUCGGGAUAUAACGGAGAAAACAACAAACACCAUAAACUGAACGGGUUAACUCAGGCGACUCCCUUACUUUUCCACGACGUUACAAGUCCCGAAAUAACACAAUGUUUGUCAAAAAAGGUGAAAACAAACCAUCUUUUGAGGUUGUACGCCAAUAUGAGAUCAACGGUUAAUCUGAGGGCAUCUAAAGGCGGGAAAUCACGGCGCGCCAAACGCGUCACUUACGGAGGUGUAGGAGAACAGCCACACAGGGCCUCAUCUGAUACUUUUGGAUUCCCACCAAGAGAUGUUAAAGCAGAUGAAAUGUACCGAUCCCGAACAAAACAGGAUGUACUGAGGACAAUCAAGAGAAUGGUGGAGGAGAACAGGGUCAUCAGAGAGCGGUUACUCACCUUGAGGCAGCAGAGCCGAAGCAAAUGAGUUUCAGGUGGUACCACAUACAGCAAAUUUUCAAGAGGAAAGGAAUGUUCACAUGCCACAAUGCUGUUUAUUAUAUUGCCUCCAUAUAUGUUGUUAUUAGAAUCUAAAAUCUAAAUUCUUAGGGCUUUAAAAAAUAACAAAUUUACGGAGGGCAUGAGCAUGACUUACAGAUGACCACUAGAUGGUGAUAUUUCCAAAAUUAAGAGCAACUACAUAAAGUGUAGAAGGGCUCUUACGUACACACUCUCCAUUUAAAUUAUACGGUA
rnacentral:lncRNA from 1 species